CUUGGUGAAGAUGGUGUUUUC
rnacentral:siRNA from 1 species